rnacentral:rRNA from 1 species
GAUGCACGCUGGCGGCGUGCCUAAUACAUGCAAGUCGCGCGAACAGAUAAGGAGCUUGCUCCUUUGACGUUAGCGGCGGACGGGUGAGUAACACGUGGGUAACCUACCUAUAAGACUGGAAUAACUCCGUGAAACCGGGGCUAAUGCCGGCUAACAUUUAGAACCGCAUGGUUCUAAAGUGAAAGAUGGUUUUGCUAUCACUUAUAGAUGGACCCGCGCCGUAUUAGCUAGUUGGUAAGGUAACGGCUUACCAAGGCAACGAUACGUAGCCGACCUGAACGGGGGAUCGGCCACACUGUAACUGAGACACGGUCCAGACUCCUACGGGAGGCAGCAGUAGGGAAUCUUCCGCAAUGGGCGAAAGCCUGACGGAGCAACGCCGCGUGAGUGAUGAAGGUCUUCGGAUCGGAAAACUCUGUUAUUAGGGAAGAACAAAUGUGUAAGUAACUGUGCACGUCUUGACGGUACCUAAUCAGAAAGCCACGGCUAACUACGUG